CUCUGCCGGGAGGCGGCGGUGACAACGACGGCCGCGGUGACGGGCACCGCGCCGGGGGUGAGGCACCAUUACCCAGUUGAACUCUGCAUUUGGAAAGCCCGCAAUUGAAGAAGACAAAUCAGAGACGUUGUCUAACCUGGAAACAGGGACACCUUUGGAACUUUGCUUUCAUUCACAGUAAUUUUUUUAAAGUGUCAUCAAGUGGAGUUAGUUUUUUCAUCUUGUUUUGCUCAUCGAGAAGAACAUGGCUUUAAGGAUUUUAAGUUUCCUUUUAGUUUUGCAUGAACUCUAUAGGAAACGGAGCCCUUAAAGGGCUUGGGAAUAACAAAAAAGAGAUUGAAGACAAGCUUGCCCUCUCUUUAUUUCCUUUCCCUUCAAAGAAAAGGAUUUACAACUCAUUCUUGUAACAGCUGUUGUCCUGCUGUAGCCACUGAGAGAGAGAGAAAAAUCAAAUUAAACUACCACUGCCAGACUACAAGCCCUGGUGAAGUCAAGGUGUGGGAGUGGUGGCAUUGAGAAGACUGCCAAAAAGGGACAGGAAUUGCAGUGAAAACAGCUU